rnacentral:rRNA from 1 species
UACGUAGGGGGCAAGCGUUAUCCGGAUUUACUGGGUAUAAAGGGAGCGUAGGCGGCGGAGCAAGUCAGAAGUGAAAGCCCGGGGCUCAACCCCGGGACGGCUUUUGAAACUGCCCUGCUUGAUUUCAGGAGAGGUAAGCGGAAUUCCUAGUGUAGCGGUGAAAUGCGUAGAUAUUAGGAGGAACACCAGUGGCGAAGGCGGCUUACUGGACUGACAAUGACGCUGAGGCUCGAAAGCGUGGGGAGCAAACAGG